GACAACUUGUCCGAGUGGUUAUGGAGCUUGACUCGAAAUCAAGUGGGUUUCACCCGCACAGGUUCGAAUCCUGUAGUUGUCG